UCCCAGGCCUCCCUAGGGCUCUCCAGCAAGGAUGUCAUUUGCACGGAGGUGACAGUUGAAGCAGUGGGGGUGAUGAGCUCUCCCGUGGAGGAGGUGUAGAGAGAGAAGAGGAUGCGGUAGACACUUGGGAAGGACCGUUGACCGGCAGGACGUGCAAGCCUUGGGAGCGCACCCAGUGGCGGAGAGGGCAGAGAGCAGAGGAGCCCCGGAAGGAGCCAGGAGGCAUCUCCUGAGCACCUGUGGAGUGCCAAGCCCUGUGCAGGAUGCAGAGGACAAGGCAAACCCACCCCUGCCUUCAAGAUUCUCAGUCUUGUGACCGGGAAUACUCACUAAACCAUCUGAGGAGGAAACCUUGGUAUCUAUCUCCUGUUCUAGCUGGGCUGCUCUGGUAAUGGGUUUGGGGGCAGAGGUGGAGAAGUCUAUGCUGAUUUACAUCAGGAAAAAAAAGAGGAAGAGAUCCAGAGAGGGAGGAGAAGUAUGGCAGUCUGCAACCCCUGGAGAGUCUAAGCAAGGGAGUGGCAUGACAUGAUCUACAUCUUAAAAUAGUCAUCUUUGCUGCUGUACGAAUGAUGAAGGCAGGAGACCACUCAGAGCUGUUACCAACAUCCAGGCAAGAGGAUACACCCGCCUACCCCUUUCCGUCCCAAGAAUCUUCCUUCCUUCUUUCUGGGAUCAACGAAGUGCCACCUCCUCGAAGCCAGAACGAACAGCCGCUUCCCACCCUGGCUCCUGCAGCGAGUUGCUUUAACCUCUAGUCAGAGCUGGUGGUUGCUGCGUGGGUCCGACUCCCCGCGUUGCUUCAACCCCCGCAUUCCCCCGACAGGCGCCCGGGAAAUCAAUCCGUCCUAAGUCAGUGACCCAGGCAGGCUCGCCCCCACAGCUCCGGACUCCAAGUCCAGUGCUCGCUCCGCCGCACCAGGAACCUCAUGCCCGGGGACGCGUCCUCUGCUCUCCGCCUUCCGCCGAGCGGCCCCGCGCUCCCUAGCCGCGGAAGGGCGGGUCUGGAGCGGGAGAAACCUCAGGCGCGGCGCCGCGGCGCCCCAGGUCACGUGACAGGGACCCGCGCGGAGAGGGACUCCGUCACGUGAUGCCGGCGCCCGAGAGCGUUGUUCUCACGUGACGGCGGCGCCCGCGUGUGGACCAAUGAGGCGGGGGCGGGGCCGGGAGGGGCGGUGCGCGGGAAGGGAGC